rnacentral:rRNA from 1 species
AUUGAACGCUGGCGGCAUGCUUUACACAUGCAAGUCGAACGGCAGCGCGGGCUUCGGCCUGGCGGCGAGUGGCGAACGGGUGAGUAAUGCAUCGGAACGUGCCCAGUAGUGGGGAUAGCCCGGCGAAAGCCGGAUUAAUACCGCAUACGACCUGAGGGUGAAAGCGGGGGACCGAAAGGCCUCGCGCUAUUGGAGCGGCCGAUGUCGGAUUAGCUAGUUGGUGGGGUAAAGGCUUACCAAGGCGACGAUCCGUAGCUGGUCUGAGAGGACGACCAGCCACACUGGGACUGAGACACGGCCCAGACUCCUACGGGAGGCAGCAGUGGGGAAUUUUGGACAAUGGGGGCAACCCUGAUCCAGCCAUGCCGCGUGCGGGAAGAAGGCCUUCGGGUUGUAAACCGCUUUUGUUCGGGAAGAAGUCCUCUGGGCUAAUACCCCGGGGGGAUGACGGUACCGGAAGAAUAAGCACCGGCUAACUACGUG